rnacentral:rRNA from 1 species
UACAGAGGUCUCAAGCGUUGUUCGGAUUCAUUGGGCGUAAAGGGUGCGUAGGUGGCGCGCUAAGUCGGGUGUGAAAUCUCGGAGCUUAACUCCGAAAUUGCAUUCGAUACUGGCGUGCUUGAGGACUGGAGAGGAGACUGGAAUUCAUGGUGUAGCAGUGAAAUGCGUAGAGAUCAUGAGGAAGACCAGUGGCGAAGGCGGGUCUCUGGACAGUUCCUGACACUGAGGCACGAAGGCCAGGGGAGCAAACGGG